rnacentral:rRNA from 1 species
AAAUUGAAGAGUUUGAUCAUGGCUCAGAUUGAACGCUGGCGGCAGGCUUAACACAUGCAAGUCGAACGGUAGCAGGAAGGAAGCUUGC